UGGGGAAUUUUGGACAAUGGGCGAAAGCCUGAUCCAGCAAUGCCGCGUGUGUGAAGAAGGCCUUCGGGUUGUAAAGCACUUUUGUCCGGAAAGAAAUCCUUGGCUCUAAUACAGUCGGGGGAUGACGGUACCGGAAGAAUAAGCACCGGCUAACUACGUGCCAGCAGCCGCGGUAAUACGUAGGGUGCAAGCGUUAAUCGGAAUUACUGGGCGUAAAGCGUGCGCAGGCGGUUUGCUAAGACCGAUGUGAAAUCCCCGGGCUCAACCUGGGAACUGCACUGGUGACUGGCAGGCUAGAGUAUGGCAGAGGGGGGUAGAAUUCCACGUGUAGCAGUGAAAUGCGUAGAGAUGUGGAGGAAUACCGAUGGCGAAGGCAGCCCCCUGGGCCAAUACUGACGCUCAUGCACGAAAGCGUGGGGAGCAAACAGGAUUAGAUACCCUGGUAGUCCACGCCCUAAACGAUGUCAACUAGUUGUUGGGGACUUCAUUUCCUUAGUAACGUAGCUAACGCGUGAAGUUGACCGCCUGGGGGAGUACGGUCGC
rnacentral:rRNA from 1 species